GACGAACGCUGGCGGCGUGCUUAACACAUGCAAGUCGAACGGAAAGGCCCUGCUUUUGUGGGGUGCUCGAGUGGCGAACGGGUGAGUAACACGUGAGUAACCUGCCCUUGACUUUGGGAUAACUUCAGGAAACUGGGGCUAAUACCGGAUAGGAGCUCCUGCUGCAUGGUGGGGGUUGGAAAGUUUCGGCGGUUGGGGAUGGACUCGCGGCUUAUCAGCUUGUUGGUGGGGUAGUGGCUUACCAAGGCUUUGACGGGUAGCCGGCCUGAGAGGGUGACCGGCCACAUUGGGACGGGGAUACGGCCCAGACUCCUACGGGAGGCAGCAGUGGGGAAUAUGGCACAAUGGGCGGAAGCCUGAUGCAGCAACGCCGCGUGCGGGAUGACGGCCUUCGGGUUGUAAACCGCUUUCGCCUGUGACGAAGCGUGAGUGACGGUAAUGGGUAAAGAAGCACCGGCUAACUACGU
rnacentral:rRNA from 1 species